rnacentral:pre_miRNA from 1 species
GGCUUGUUUUAAGUUGCCUGUGGACAAUUAGCAGAACUCAGGCAGCUAAAGCAAGUCUG